rnacentral:rRNA from 1 species
AUGCUGGAGGUAUCAGAAGUGCGAAUGCUGACAUAAGUAACGAUAAAGCGGGUGAAAAGCCCGCUCGCCGGAAGACCAAGGGUUCCUGUCCAACGUUAAUCGGGGCAGGGUGAGUCGACCCCUAAGGCGAGGCCGAAAGGCGUAGUCGAUGGGAAACGGGUUAAUAUUCCCGUACUUGGUGUUACUGCGAAGGGGGGACGGAGAAGGCUAUGUUGGCCGGGCGACGGUUGUCCCGGUUUAAGCGUGUAGGUGUGUGUUCCAGGUAAAUCCGGUUCACUUUAACACUGAGGCGUGACGACGAGGCACUACGGUGCUGAAGCAACAAAUGCCCUGCUUCCAGGAAAAGCCUCUAAGCAUCAGGUAACACGAAAUCGUACCCCAAACCGACACAGGUGGUCAGGUAGAGAAUACCAAGGCGCUUGAGAGAACUCGGGUGAAGGAACUAGGCAAAAUGGUGCCGUAACUUCGGGAGAAGGCACGCUGACACGUAGGUGAAGUGAUUUACUCAUGGAGCUGAAGUCAGUCGAAGAUACCAGCUGGCUGCAACUGUUUAUUAAAAACACAGCACUGUGCAAACACGAAAGUGGACGUAUACGGUGUGACGCCUGCCCGGUGCCGGAAGGUUAAUUGAUGGGGUCAGCGUAAGCGAAGCUCCUGAUCGAAGCCCCGGUAAACGGCGGCCGUAACUAUAACGGUCCUAAGGUAGCGAAAUUCCUUGUCGGGUAAGUUCCGACCUGCACGAAUGGCGUAAUGAUGGCCAGGCUGUCUCCACCCGAGACUCAGUGAAAUUGAACUCGCUGUGAAGAUGCAGUGUACCCGCGGCAAGACGGAAAGACCCCGUGAACCUUUACUAUAGCUUGACACUGAACAUUGAGCCUUGAUGUGUAGGAUAGGUGGGAGGCUUUGAAGUGUGGACGCCAGUCUGCAUGGAGCCGACCUUGAAAUACCACCCUUUAAUGUUUGAUGUUCUAACGUGGACCCGUAAUCCGGGUUGCGGACAGUGUCUGGUGGGUAGUUUGACUGGGGCGGUCUCCUCCUAAAGAGUAACGGAGGAGCACGAAGGUUGGCUAAUCCUGGUCGGACAUCAGGAGGUUAGUGCAAUGGCAUAAGCCAGCUUGACUGCGAGCGUGACGGCGCGAGCAGGUGCGAAAGCAGGUCAUAGUGAUCCGGUGGUUCUGAAUGGAAGGGCCAUCGCUCAACGGAUAAAAGGUACUCCGGGGAUAACAGGCUGAUACCGCCCAAGAGUUCAUAUCGACGGCGGUGUUUGGCACCUCGAUGUCGGCUCAUCACAUCCUGGGGCUGAAGUAGGUCCCAAGGGUAUGGCUGUUCGCCAUUUAAAGUGGUACGCGAGCUGGGUUUAGAACGUCGUGAGACAGUUCGGUCCCUAUCUGCCGUGGGCGCUGGAGAACUGAGGGGGGCUGCUCCUAGUACGAGAGGACCGGAGUGGACGCAUCACUGGUGUUCGGGUUGUCAUGCCAAUGGCACUGCCCGGUAGCUAAAUGCGGAAGAGAUAAGUGCUGAAAGCAUCUAAGCACGAAACUUGCCCCGAGAUGAGUUCUCCCUGAGACUUAG